ACACAUGCAAGUCGAACGGAGCUGUUUUGAUGAAGUUUUCGGAUGGAUUUAAAACAGCUUAGUGGCGGACGGGUGAGUAACGCGUGGGUAACCUGCCUCACACUGGGGGAUAACAGUUAGAAAUAGCUGCUAAUACCGCAUAAGCGCACGGUUCCGCAUGGAACAGUGUGAAAAACUCCGGUGGUGUGAGAUGGACCCGCGUCUGAUUAGCCAGUUGGCGGGGUAACGGCCCACCAAAGCGACGAUCAGUAGCCGGCCUGAGAGGGUGAACGGCCACAUUGGGACUGAGACACGGCCCAAACUCCUACGGGAGGCAGCAGUGGGGAAUAUUGCACAAUGGGGGAAACCCUGAUGCAGCGACGCCGCGUGAGUGAAGAAGUAUUUCGGUAUGUAAAGCUCUAUCAGCAGGGAAGAAAGUGACGGUACCUGAAUAAGAAGCCCCGGCUAACUACGUGCCAGCAGCCGCGGUAAUACGUAGGGGGCAAGCGUUAUCCGGAUUUACUGGGUGUAAAGGGAGCGUAGACGGCAAGGCAAGUCUGAAGUGAAAGCCCGGUGCUUAACGCCGGGACUGCUUUGGAAACUGUUUAGCUGGAGUGCCGGAGAGGUAAGCGGAAUUCCUAGUGUAGCGGUGAAAUGCGUAGAUAUUAGGAAGAACACCAGUGGCGAAGGCGGCUUACUGGACGGUAACUGACGUUGAGGCUCGAAAGCGUGGGGAGCAAACAGGAUUAGAUACCCUGGUAGUCCACGCCGUAAACGAUGAUUGCUAGGUGUAGGUGGGUAUGGACCCAUCGG
rnacentral:rRNA from 1 species